GGGACCCAAAGGCCUGGCCAUGCUGGGGAUGCGGUGGGGCUGCUUUGAGGCCUGCUCAAGCUGGGGACACCCCAAAGCCUGACUGUGGUGGGGACACCUCACGGCCUGACAUGGGGACACCCCACGGCCUGCCCAGGAUGGGGAGGCCCAAAAGCCUGGCCGUGGUGGAGAUGUGGUGGGGCUACCUGAGGGUCUAGAUGUGUUAGGGUCAUUCUGUGGCCUGCCCAGCUGGGGACACUGUGGGGACACCCAAAGGCCUGCCCAGAUUGGGGAUGUGGUGGGGCCAACCCGGGCCCUGGGUGCGUUAGGGCUGCUCUGUGUCCUGCCAGGGCUGGGGACAGCCCAAGGCCUGACCUGGGGACAGCCCAAGGCCUGACCUGGGGACAGCCCAGGGCCUGCCCAGGAUGGGGGGACCCAAAGGCCUGGCUGUGCUGGGGAUGCGGUGGGGCUGCUUUGAGGCCUGCUCAAGCUGGGGACACCCCAAGGCCUGACUGUGGUGGGGACACCUCACGUCCUGACAUGGGGACACCCCACGGCCUGCCCAGGAUGGGGGGACCCAAAAGCCUGGCCGUGGUGGAGAUGUGGUGGGGCUACCUGAGGGUCUAGAUGUGUUAGGGUCAUUCUGUGGCCUGCCCAGCUGGGGACACUGUGGGGACACCCAAAGGCCUGCCCAGGCUGGGGAUGUGGUGGGGCCAACCCGGGCCCUGGGUGCAUUAGGGCUGCUCUGUGUCCUGCCAGGGCUGGGGACAGCCCAAGGCCUGACCUGGGGA
rnacentral:lncRNA from 1 species